GUAAAACUAACAACCAUAGCACUCAUCUCGUCAGUGUGAGCAUCAGUCUUCAAGAGCAGAACAAUCUACACAGUCUUGGCUAAGUUGGAAGGUCAGAAAAUGCCAGACUUUGAUGGCAAAUGGCUGAGGGAGGCGUCAAAGGUGGAGAAGUUCUUCGAGGAUUGUCAUCAGAAAGGCACUUUACUAGUCGCUUACCACGUCAACCUCAAUACAACUGUACCUCUCCAAGAGGACCAGGUUAAACUGGCUCUUACACACCUCUACAGGAAGGUUCCAUGCCUACAUGUGUGUUUUGGCGAGCGUGAAGGAAUACUGUGGAUCCGUGAAGCAACCAACAAAAAUGUUGACUUUAAGGUAAGUCUGAAGUCUGUGAAGCAAACAAUAAAAACUGG